UUCCGAGUACAGGACAACUGAGAACAGGAACGACCGGAUACAGCAGGACUGGAAACACUUUCAGCAAACAGAUUCAGCAUUCAGGAAGCUCAGGAACUAGCAGGAACCAAGCUCAGAACUCAAGCAGACUGAAAACCCAGAAAUAUCACCAGCCUCUGCGAACUGCAAUCAGCCAGCAUAUAACAGAGAGGCCUAAUUAAUAAUCCAGUGCAGCUGGCCUAUUGCAGGACUCCAAGCUGACAAGAUGCAAUUAGCAGCCAGAUGAGGCUGAACACAUGGGAACAAGCUGCAAUUGCACAGACUCACCAGCGGCAGCAGACAAGAGUAAUCUAAAACAGAGCAAUGGGAAAUCCUGGCAUGCAAGACAACUAAAUAAACAUAAAAUAGAAAUGAACCACUACCUGUGGUUCAUAACAAUGACUCCUUACCGUAAUCCCAGGCCAGGACCACAGACGGCAUUUAACUCCGCGCUUACUGCCACUAGGCAGCUGGUGGAGCGCACAAUUGGGGUCCUUAAAGGGCGGUUUCGUGUGCUCCACCGCACUGGUGGCGACAUCAUGUAUUCGCCGGAGAUGGCAAGUAAACUAGUGGUUCUGUGCGCAAUACUACACAAUAUCGCGGUAAGGAGUAGCGUAGAGCUUCCUCAGACAGAGGAAUUGCCUGAUGAGGAGCCAGGGGUUGUUCGACACUUCGGUGGGGGGAGUGUUACACGGAGGGGGAGCCAAGUCAGGGCAAGCAUUGUUGCUGAAUAUUUCAGCUGAAUGAUCACACAAACUGUGGACGAGAACAACGGCAGACCUCUCAGCCCCCUUCCCCUUCCCAGUCCCCCUCCCCUUCUCACUCCCCCUCCCCUUCUCACUCCCCCUCCCCUUCGCAGUCCUCCUCAGCUUCCCAGUCCCCCUCAGCUACCCAGUCCCCCUCAGCUUCCCAGUCCCCCUCAGCUUCCCAGUCCCCCUCAGCUUCCCAGGCCCACUCCACUUUCCACUCCCCUUCUCACACCACCUCUCUAUCUCUUUCUGUGACCCCUUCUCCUCCUUCCCAUACCCCUUCUCCUUCAACUUCAAACUCACCUUCUCAGCCCCCCUCACCCUCUAUUGGCUUAACUUUCUCUCCGCCCCCCUCGCCCUCUCAAUCAGACCCACCCUCUGAAAUUACAUCCCCAAUCCAGCCUCCUUCCCCCAUCCAGCCUCCUUCCCCCAUCCCUCCUCCUUCCCCAAUCCCUCCUCCUUCCCCAAUCCCUCCUCCUUCCCCCAUCCAGCCGCCUU